CAUAAACUGAUGAGACGGAGAUCAAACCAUGUGUGCACGUAAAGGGAGCCCUUGUUACUGGAAGUAGGGCCGAACGCAACAUGGCAAAUGGACCGUUGAGGGUUGGUUGAACGAGAGCAAUCUCAAGUACUGCCAAACGUAAGAUCCACGUAAGUGAUCAGGUUAUUGUUAGAUAACUGUUGAGACGCGUUUUAACUCGAGUGGGCUUUUUGGGUACCAUUUGAUUUAAACGAAAUCAGGUGGCACCGCGGGAAAACCGUCCUGAAA
rnacentral:ncRNA from 1 species